rnacentral:rRNA from 1 species
AUUGAACGCUGGCGGCAUGCCUUACACAUGCAAGUCGAACGGCAGCACGGGAGCAAUCCUGGUGGCGAGUGGCGAACGGGUGAGUAAUAUAUCGGAACGUGCCCGGUCGUGGGGGAUAACGUAGCGAAAGCUACGCUAAUACCGCAUACGAUCUACGGAUGAAAGCGGGGGAUCGCAAGACCUCGCGCGAUUGGAGCGGCCGAUAUCAGAUUAGGUAGUUGGUGAGGUAAAGGCGUCACCAAGCCGACGAUCUGUAGCUGGUCUGAGAGGACGACCAGCCACACUGGGACUGAGACACGGCCCAGACUCCUACGGGAGGCAGCAGUGGGGAAUUUGGACAAUGGGCGCAAGACCUGAUCCAGCAAUGCCGCGUG